GCUUAUUAUUACACCAGUGUGAAUACACCCCAUCUCGUCUGAUCUCAGAAACUAAACACGCUUGGGCUCGGCCAGUACUUGGAUGGGAGAUCGCCUGAGAAUCCCCAGUGCUAUAAGCU
rnacentral:rRNA from 1 species